UCAUUCCAUCUGUAUUCAUCAACGAUUUUUAUAUCUCAUUUCACUCAUCUUGUAAUUAGGUGUCACUUUCUAUGUCAAAAAUAUUUUCAGUUAUUCAACAAUAUGCGUGUCAAAUGGUAUACCAUUAAGGCAAUAAGAUCAAGAGCUUGGUGCACGAGUAAUUGGUGAUAGUGAGGCAUCUCUGAAGUAUAAACAUGCCUCACAUAGUUUGCGAUGAUAGUGAAACAAUUGAAAAUACAAUAAUGGUUUAUUUGUAGUUUUGUUAAUCAUACUUAUGCUAAACUAUUUUGUCUGAUGCACAUUAAAUCAUUAUGUAGCAGUUUAUUCAGCAAAGUUAUUCUUUUAUCUAAUGAAGUUUUGAUUUAUCCUUAAAAA